GCCGCCGUAGCUCAGUGGUAGAGCACACCCUUGGUAAGGGUGGGGCCGAUAGUUCAAUUCUAUUCGGCGGCACCA
rnacentral:tRNA from 1 species